CAAAAUCUCCAUCAUUCAUAGAGGUUCAAUGGCUGGCACCAGCCAGGUGUCUCUCUGUUCCCAUUUCAGUUCUUUUUGGUUUAAACAUUGAGUCUUCUGUGAACCCUAUGUGGAGCACCAGCUAGCUCCUGGGGAGACUCUUUGGUAGCAGUAGGGAAGGUCCAGGACUCCUAAGUCAUUCCCACUGCAGAUGUGUUUGACACUGGAAUCCACAGACUCCACUGUCUUCUGCAGUUCUCUUCUCUUGUCCUACACUUCUCAUUUUCUAGAAAAAUCCCCUUCCCACAGUACUGAGGUUCUCUGCUGGAGAAGAGGAUAAUUUUAAGUCAUGUAGCAUCCUGUAGCACCUCAAAGCCAUUCCCACCAGAUGAGUCCCUUCACUCAAACCCUGCCCUGUGGCCCCUUUUGAGGGUCUCCCCUUUGUCCUUUGAAGCUUUCUUGCCUAAAGCCUCAUCCAUGUUCCUGUGAAUCUCUCCAACUCUCUUAAUAGUUCACCAGUGGCUUAGGCAAAGGUCAUAGGUGGUUUGUGACAGGAUGUGGUCUGUUGUCUCUGCCUGCAGUAGGGUGGACAGACCUCUCCACUGUGUGAUAUUGCAGGGAGGGGAAAAAGAAUGCUGCAAGUGCUUCAUGCACUUUCUACAUGCAGCUAUCUGUCUCUGGGAUGAGUUGUGUGAACAGGAGACGUAUCAGGGCAUCCCAAGCAGGGAGUCAGGCAGCAAGAAGCAGGACUGUGAGCACCUCCACAGAGACCUGCAAGGACUCCUCAGUGCUGGCCAACUGUGGGGUGGGCCUCUGAAGGCAGACCUGUGUUGGGAAUGGCUGUUCCCAGGAGGGGCAGGGCCAUGGUGUAGACUCACCUCUACUGGUGGCAGUUUCUAGGGAGGCUGACCUCAGCUCAUUGUCCAACAAACAUCUCAGUGGAUAUAAAAACAAAGCCCUGAGUCCUCAGAGCAUCCAUGCUGCUACCGUCAUCAGUAUAAGAAAAGCCUGGUUCUGCUGAGAGGAUGCUAUCCAUUUCUCUUGCAUGUGGGAUGGGCAAGCUCUGGACUUCCACCAGUUAACUCGGUGGACCUUGGAGUCUGGAAAUGAAGGCCCUCUGGUCUACCUCCCAUGCAUAGCCUCUCUGCCAAUUCCUUAUAUUCUCUAUACAUUGUGCCAAGUUUCUGCAGAAUAAGAAAAAAAUCCUGGUCCUGGCCUAACCCUUUCAGUAUAGGAGCUUUGCCAGGGAUCUACAGAUCUCACCUUCAUAGCGGUCAGAGGAUCAGCUUUCAGGAGUCCAGAUCUCAUUUUGACUUAUGCUCCGAUCAGUCCAAUGGUGCCAAACUGAUCACCAGGCCUUUAGCAUGUAUGAAGCUAAGCACUGUUUAGGUUGGGGGCAUCAGAGCAGUGAUGUAGGUAGGUAGGGCCCUAUGCUCAUGUGGAUGGGAAACUCUGUGGUACUGAGUGAGAGGAAAAAAUGAAAGGCUUGGGAAGCUGAGCAGGGUAGAGAGGGGAGGGGAGAGAGAGAGAGUGGCUGGAGAUUAUAUACAGUGAGAAAGAAGGGGGUCAAGAGAUGAGGUGGGUAGAGGAAACUAUGGAGAAAGUAGUCCUGAUUCAGGUCUUUCCUUCACCUUUAAAAGAACCUAUAUGGACAUCACACUCAUUCAGAUGGAAAAUAGUUCUUUCACUACAAAAGUUCUCAGGAUUCUUCCUGGUUCAUUCUUCUUACCAAACAGCUCCAGACAACCCUGACCUGUUUUUGUCCCUGUGGAUGAGAUGCACCUCUUUCCAAUCUUUCCAUGAAUAAAAUCAUAUUGC
rnacentral:lncRNA from 1 species